GACGAACGCUGGCGGCGUGCUUAACACAUGCAAGUCGAACGGAAAGGCCCUGCUUGCCGGGUGCUCGAGUGGCGAACGGGUGAGUAACACGUGGGUGAUCUGCCCCUUACUUUGGGAUAAGCCGGGGAAACUGGGUCUAAUACUGGAUAGGACCAUGCUGUAGGUGGGGUGGUGGGAAGAUUAGUUUCGGUAAGGGGUGAGGUCGCGGCCUAUCAGCUGUUUGGUGGGGGAUUGGCCUACCAAGGCGUCGACGGGUAGCCGGCCGGAGGGGGGGGACGGCCACAUUGGGACUGGGAUACGGCCCAGAAGCCUACGGGGGGCAGCAGUGGGGAAGAAUGCACAAUGGGGGGAAGCCUGAUGCAGCGACGCCGCGGGGGGGAUGACGGCCUUCGGGGUGUAAACUCCUUUCAGCCAUGACGAAGCCCUUGUGGUGACGGUAGUGGGAGAAGAAGCACCGGCUAACUACGUG
rnacentral:rRNA from 1 species